CCUACGGGAGGCUGCAGUGAGGAAUAUUGGUCAAUGGACGAGAGUCUGAACCAGCCAAGUAGCGUGAAGGAUGACUGCCCUAUGGGUUGUAAACUUCUUUUAUAUGGGAAUAAAAUGUUCCACGUGUGGGAUUUUGUAUGUACCAUAUGAAUAAGGAUCGGCUAACUCCGUGCCAGCAGCCGCGGUAAUACGGAGGAUCCGAGCGUUAUCCGGAUUUAUUGGGUUUAAAGGGAGCGUAGGUGGAUUGUUAAGUCAGUUGUGAAAGUUUGCGGCUCAACCGUAAAAUUGCAGUUGAAACUGGCAGUCUUGAGUACAGUAGAGGUGGGCGGAAUUCGUGGUGUAGCGGUGAAAUGCUUAGAUAUCACGAAGAACUCCGAUUGCGAAGGCAGUUCACUGGACUGCAACUGACACUGAGGCUCGAAAGUGUGGGUAUCAAACAGGAUUAGAUACCCUUGUAAUC
rnacentral:rRNA from 1 species